GAAUUUUGGACAAUGGGGGCAACCCUGAUCCAGCCAUCCCGCGUGUGCGAUGAAGGCCCCCGGGUUGUAAAGCAAUUUUGGCAGGGAAGAAAAGGUUCUGGCUAAUACCUGGAGCUGCUGACGGUACCGGCCGAAUACGGCCCGGCUCACUACCUGCCAGCCCCCGCGGUAAUACGUAGGGUGCAAUCGUUAAUCCGAAUUACUGGGGGUAAAGCGUGCGCAAGCGGUUUGGCAAGAAGGAUGUUGAAUCCCAGGGCUUAACCUUGGAACUGCAUUCUUAACUGCCAGGUUAGAGUAUGUCAGAGGGGGGUAGGAUUCCACGUGUAGCAGUGAAAUGCGUAGAGAUGUGGAGGAAUACCGAUGGCGAAGGCAGCCCCCUGGGAUAAUACUGACGCUCAUGCACGAAAGCGUGGGGAGCAAACA
rnacentral:rRNA from 1 species